GACGAACGCUGGCGGCGUGCUUAACACAUGCAAGUCGAACGGAAAGGCCCUGCUUUUUUGGGGUGCUCGAGUGGCGAACGGGUGAGUAACACGUGAGUAACCUGCCCUUGACUUUGGGGUAACUUCAGGCAACUGGGGCUAAUACCGGAUAGGAGCUCCUGCUGCAUGGUGGGGGUUGGAAAGUUUCGGCGGUUGGGGAUGGACUCGCGGCUUAUCAGCUUGUUGGUGGGGUAGUGGCUUACCAAGUCUUUGACGGGUAGCCGGCCUGAGAGGGUGACCGGCCACAUUGGGACUGAGAUACGGCCCAGACUCCUACGUGAGGCAGCAGUGGGGAAUAUUGCACAAUGGGCGGAAGCCUGAUGCAGCAACGCCGCGUGCGGGAUGACGGCCUUCGGGUUGUAAACCGCUUUCGCCUGUGACGAAGCGUGAGUGACGGUAAUGGGUAAAGAAGCACCGGCUAACUACGUG
rnacentral:rRNA from 1 species